AUUGAACGCUGGCGGCAGGCUUAACACAUGCAAGUCGAACGAGUGGCGGACGGGUGAGUAAUGCAUGGGAAUCUGGCUUAUGGAGGGGGAUAACUACGGGAAACUGUAGCUAAUACCGCGUACCAUAGGAUGAGCCCAUGUGGGAUUAGGUAGUUGGUGAGGUAAAGGCUCACCAAGGCGACGAUCCCUAGCUGGUCUGAGAGGAUGACCAGCCACACUGGGACUGAGACACGGCCCAGACUCCUACGGGAGGCAGCAGUGGGGAAUAUUGCACAAUGGGCGCAAGCCUGAUGCAGCCAUGCCGCGUGUAUGAAGAAGGCCUUCGGGUUGUAAAGUACUUUCGGUCGGGAGGCGUUACCGGCAGAAGAAGCACCGGCUAACUCCGUGCCAGCAGCCGCGGUAAUAC
rnacentral:rRNA from 1 species